rnacentral:tRNA from 1 species
AGACGGCUAGUUUAGUAAAAACAUUUGAUUUCGGCUCAAAAGCUUGUGGUUCAAGUCCACGGCCGCCUA